GACGUAGGGCGCGAGCGUUGUCCGGAUUUAUUGGGCGUAAAGAGCGUGUAGGCGGCUAGGUAGGUCCGUUGUGAAAACUCGAGCUCAACCUCGAGACGCCGGUGGAAACCAUCUAGCUAGAGUCCGGAAGAGGAGAGUGGAAUUCCUGGUGUAGCGGUGAAAUGCGCAGAUAUCAGGAAGAGCACCCGUGGCGAAGGCGGCUCUCUGGGACGUGACUGACGCUGAGACGCGAAAGCGUGGGGAGCGAACAGG
rnacentral:rRNA from 1 species